GAGGAUAUAGCUCAGUGGUAGAGAGCAUGCCUAGCAUGCAUGAGGUCCUGGUUCAGUCUCCAGUACCUCCA
rnacentral:tRNA from 1 species